rnacentral:rRNA from 1 species
AAAGGAAUUGACGGGGACCCGCACAAGCAGUGGAGCAUGUGGUUUAAUUCGAAGCAACGCGAAGAACCUUACCAGGUCUUGACAUCCCCCUGACCGGAUCAGAGAUGGUCCUUUCCCUUCGGGGACAGGGGAGACAGGUGGUGCAUGGUUGUCGUCAGCUCGUGUCGUGAGAUGUUGGGUUAAGUCCCGCAACGAGCGCAACCCUUGUUCCUAGUUGCCAGCACGUUGGGGUGGGCACUCUAGGGAGACUGCCGGUGACAAACCGGAGGAAGGUGGGGAUGACGUCAAAUCAUCAUGCCCCUUAUGACCUGGGCUACACACGUGCUACAAUGGCCGCGACAAAGGGCAGCGAAGGGGCGACCCGGAGCGAAUCCCGACAAAGGCGGUCUCAGUUCGGAUUGCAGGCUGCAACUCGCCUGCAUGAAGUCGGAAUUGCUAGUAAUCGCGGAUCAGCAUGCCGCGGUGAAUACGUUCCCGGGUCUUGUACACACCGCCCGU